rnacentral:lncRNA from 15 species
GUACAUCAUGUUUUAAAAUCACUGUGAGUGAGUGUUAUUGCAUGAUUUUUAAUGCUGCCAAUAAUUUUGCCAAGUUUUAAUUACUCUUCCAUUGAAAGGCCUCAUGCUGCGAUGGCCUUCGCGGUUUAAUAAUUGCAGUUUUACUCGGCAUAGUUGUUUAGCCCCACUGUGCUAAAUUUACUUCUACUCAAUUUCAUUACUGUGUUCCAUUAAAUAUUCAUAGAAUCUGAAUGAGAAGCAGUUGAGGGUAAUUAGGUGUUUGUUAAUGCACAGACUAAUCCUUUGUGGAGCAUAAAACACUGACUGACAGCUGUCAGCUUAAUAUCUUUUGUUUACUGUCAUCCCCUAUACAGUUGUUCUUCCAUGAAUCACACUCCAUCGUAUAUUUACUGUGUAUCUGUGUAGAACUGAUUGUGUGCAUCCUAUACAUUGUGUUUACUGAAAUGCGUGACAGUGCAGAUUAAUCAGGCUUAGGUAUGUUUGUUCAUUUAUCUUAUGAUAUUAAACAUGUUACAUGUGGUCAGGCUGGCUUUCCAUCUGUUGGACCAUCAUGGAAAAUGCCUGUGCUUGAUUGAAAGUCAUGAUCCCAUAAAUCUUCCAGCUGUCUCGCUAGACUUGAAAUAACAUUAUACAGCUGCUGCUUGAUAACACUCCAUGACUUCAACUUUAUUUUUUUAUUUAAAUAUCUACUGAUAUUCUGAGGUAGCUUCUGGAUUUUUUCUUUGACAUUAAUUUAAUUAUGUAAAUCAGUGACUUCACUGUAGUAAAAUAUGCAAAACUUUUUAAAAUACUAAUGUCACUCUAAAUGAUUUACAGACCUACUACAUAUCAGUCCCUACACAUUUAUUCAAACAUGAGUUUGAGAUGGAUGGAUCCACUGUGGAAGAUUGGGAAAAAAGAAACAGGGAAUUUGGAGAGAGGAAGAUGAAGGGGAGACAGUGGGCAGACAGCACCUGCUGCAAUCUGAAAGUCCACUGUCGCUGCUCCUAUCCCAUAAACCCCCUUUCCCUGUCAACACCACAGAGGAAUGCAGCCACACGCAGCAGCAGGGAGUUCAAAACUUCUUUGUGGGCUGGUGCAUGUCAGCUUUGCAUCCGUGACAUCAUCUUGCUGGUGCCAUUAAAAUGACAUCAGCAUCAUCCCUUCGUCUACAGAGUUGUUGUCCUUGACUUCCCGACACUUUUGCUUUAUGUGCUGCAGAGGGAGCAGCAGACUAAAUCCCUGAUGGAUUGGUGACAUACGACCGUGUGUCUGCUGCGACUGUCUGACGCAUUGCUUAAAGUACUUGUGGAGAGUCCGUCAUAUGUAUCUGGAGCGUACAGUAAAGAGCUUCCAGAGACUCAGUGUAUAAAUUGCAGGCCUUAAGUGGCAUCAACCCAGAGAGAAAUCUCUUGACAAGGCACUUGAGACGUUCUUCUGUUUCCAUGCUGCAUUAGUGAUGCUAGUAGACUACCAGCAACUGCAGCAUGUGCAUCUAACGUUGCUUAUUCUUGCAUGUGCGCACACAAACACUGGACAGGGUCUAAUGCAGCCUUCGGUGAUUAAAUCCAAGAGGGAAUAACAGAUACUGAGGUCUUAUUGUAAUGGUUUCAGAUUUACUGCUAGCUAGCAAAAUUCCUCUCCAAUUCUGGCUCUGGAAUAGUUGAUGUCUUUUUAGAUGUAUUGAUAGAAAAUUUCAGAUUGCUAUGUUUUGACAUGCCUCAUGCAACGCACAUUUAGACAACAAAAAAAGUCUCAGCACAGAGAAUGGAUAUCUGGUUAGUCUGUUUUGAUCUCAUUACGGAACCAUGCUAAGAUGUAAUUAUCCUUGCGGGAAGGAUAACUUAGUUAUAUAGUUUUCAGUAACAGAUGUUUAGAUUCCAAUUUUUAAUAAUAGUCAUUUUUAAAUUCGUUACACAAGUUUUUGUUUUUAUUUUGCCACACUAACGUCAUGGUUUCAUGGAUGGCAAUGUUGGUCUGUCAGUCAGUUUACCACUUUGGUCCAGAUUGAUAUAUUUCAACAACUAAUUAAUGGAUUACCAUUAAAUUCAGUACACACAUUCUUGGUGCCCAGAGGAUGGAUCCCAAGAACUGGCCUUUCCUGUAGCACCACCAAUGAGGUUUCCAUGUGGUUUUGAAUGAAGUGUCUCACUGAUUUUCCAUGGAAUUUUGAUACAGACAUUCAUGUCCCCGUCAGGAUGACAUUUCAACAUUGUAUUGAUAAUAUUAAACACUGUAAAAUAGAAAGGAG